UACCAGCACCCCGAGUGGUCGGGACGAUUAUUGGGCCUAAAGCAUCCGUAGCCGGUUUUACAAGUCCCCCGUUAAAUCCAACUGCUUAACAGAUGGGCCGCGGAGGAUACUAUAAGACUAGGAGGCAGGAGAGGCAAGCGGUACUCAGUGGGUAGGGGUAAAAUCCGUUGAUCCAUUGAAGACCACCAGUGGCGAAAGGCGGCUUGCCAGAAUGCGCU
rnacentral:rRNA from 1 species